CGUCUAGGCGGACCGCGUAAGUCUCGCGUGAAAGCUCCCGGCUCAACUGGGAGAGGGCGCGGGAAACUGUGUGGCUCGAGACUCGGAGGGGGGUGCGGAAUUCCCGGUGGAGUGGUGAAAUGCGUUGAGAUCGGGAGGAACACCAGUAGCGAAGGCGGCACCCUGGCCGAGGUCUGACGCUGAAGCGCGAUAGCGUGGGGAGCGAAC
rnacentral:rRNA from 1 species